CAGCAGCCACGGUAAUACGUAGGGGGCUAGCGUUGUUCGGAUUUACUGGGCGUAAAGCGCACGUAGGCGGAUCGAUCAGUCAGGGGUGAAAUCCUGGAGCUCAACUCCAGAACUGCCUUUGAUACUGUCGAUCUCGAGUCCGGAAGAGGUGAGUGGAACUCCUAGUGUAGAGGUGGAAUUCGUAGAUAUUAGGAAGAACACCAGUGGCGAAGGCGGCUCACUGGCUCAUACUGGACGCUGAGGUGCGAAAGCGUGGGGAGCAAACAGGAUUAGAUACCCCCGUAGUCCCUGUCUCUUAUAC
rnacentral:rRNA from 1 species